UGAUAGUCCAUUAAUAUGUUCACAAAACCAGAGCGUCAGGGGUAGAGUCACGACCACGUAGAAUGCACGCAGAAACGACAGCAGGCAAACAGGCCCUGAAGCUGAUGUGAGGCUGGCUUUAAAGAUAGUAAAGGGAGCUACAGAUGUAAUGAAUAGCUGCAGAUGAGUCUGCAGUAAUGAAUACCCCCAGAUGUGCAGGAUAAGCUGCAAACAAACUGACAGGUGUCAAACUGCAGUGACUCACAGGUAGAGAAACUGACUGGAAACAGAGAGGACCAGAAUUCCAGCCAGAUCUCCCAAAGGGGGCCAUGCCUAGCAGUCUGCCGAGAUGAGGACAAACUAUGACGGGGGCUCACUCCAAAACAUUAGUUCAUUUCAUGAUUACUAUAACUUUCUCAGGCCUGGAUUUAAUGUAUUUGGAUAAAUUUUUCAAAUAGUCUCAACCUAUCAGAAAACAUUUCAAAUAAUUUAUCUACAAAUGAUGGGCUCCGUAGAUGUUUGCAGUUCAGCGAACAUUACUCAUGUUGUAUGUUUUCUUUGUGUGGGGUUACUCUUUAGAAUAGCAGUUUGUUUCACCCAUGUGAGAGUGCCAAUAUUUUUAUCUUUGGAAAAGUCAAAUUCUCCAAUAUGUGAGCAAAUUAUCUAACAUAACACAAUGCUCAUCCCUCCACAGCAAUCACCGACUAAAUAUGGGAGUACGGACUUAUCUGACCUUCUAUGGCUAUGGGAAGAAAUAUAUAUUAACUGAAACAUUUAGAAAUGAUACAAACUAUGGAAGACAAUAUAUUGUGCUCACAUUAGAUUAGCACUUUGUGCAUCUUUAUGUGAGAUAUAGGAAACUUGGGUAAUUAAAAUUAAAGGAUUACGUCCGAGAACCAUGACCACUUUUGGUCAGCUCGACCACAUUCACUUUGAAACGCUACACACACAGAGAUUCACCCCUUAGCUGCCAGAGGUAUAACUCCACCAACCAGCGUUAUUAGUCAGCCAAGAACACAAUUUCAAUGACCCAGACCAGAACAUAGUUCCGGGCUGGCAAAUGUAAAUUUUGUGAAAAAUUGUUGCCUAAAGUUGAAAGUUCAAUUUGAAUGCACAUUUCUUUACUAUAUUUCUUGAAAUUGUCUUCCCAUCUGAAUCUCUGAACCACAGGCAAUG